UAUUAUUGGCCAACACUUUGUGGAGCUGGGCUUCCUCUGAGGUUGCAGCUGAGUCGAGUCCUUCUCGGUGAGGACAGCUUGAGAACAGCGCUAUGCAGACGGCCUUAGCCACAGCCGGCCUUGUGAGUCCAUCCGCACCAUCCAAACCACAGAACAGUGAGCAAAGCCAGGCUCUGUCUGGUGUUGGGAGAAUAGAGCGACCGACUCUGAUGCAAACAGGAUAUUCCUGCCUGCAGGAAGCACUGUGGCCACGUCAACACGGGUCCGCGUUUGGUUUACUCCAUUGGAUCAGAUAGAAUGCCAAAAUGGAUUCUUCCAGAGCUUAGACAAUCUGUUCUCUCUCAGGCCAAACAUGGAACAGGAUUUUAACAGACUGCUGUGCCUUUUCCCAAGAGUGAGGAGUGACCCAGGCCAAGGACCCAUCCUCCUCAGGAUCCACAACAGGAAGCUUCUCAGUCUCAAGGGAAGAAUGAAGAUGAGAGUUCUCAGAGGGAAGGAUGGACAUUUUAGGUGGAAGUCUGCAUAUUAUUUGUGUGGCAAAAUGAAAAUAGAUUUUUUUUAAAAUUUAAUUUAACUUUUUAAAUACUUUUGCUGAGGAAGAUUCCCUCUGAGCUAACAUCUAUUGCCCAUCUUCCUCUAUUUUGCAUCUUCCUCUAUGUAUCACCAUCACAGCAUGGCUGAUGAGUGGUGUAGUCUGCGCCCAGGAUCCAAACCCAUGAACCCGGGCCACUGAAGCAGAGCAUGCCGAACUUCACUACGCCAUGGGGCCGGCCCAAAAUCGAUUUCUUUUCUGAUUGCGUAAACAAUACUGCUUACUUAAAAAAUAUCAGACAACUCACAAAAGGGCUCAAUUGCAGACAGAAGUCAAAAGGACAGCACAGUGACCUCCCUUGGUGUGUUCAUCAGUUGUAAAUGAGACUAUGUAUUAUGCAAAUUAAUUGAGCGUGAAUGGAGGUGGGCAUGGUGCCCAUGGUGCGGUAGGGAGCAAGUGUGACCUGGCCACAUGUGCUGUGGAGUCUCAGUGGGCACAAGACCUAGCCCACAGCUAUGGCAUCCCCUACAUCAAGAUGUCGGCCAAGAUGUGCCAGCUGUGCUGGUCCUUGUGCACAGAUGCAGGGCGUGGAGGUGCGGAUGUAAGGAGGAGGUGCAGACAGAGGAAGGAAGGAAGUGCCGCCUGAGCCCAGCCAGCCCCAGGUGGAGAGAGUGACCCAAGAUCUCCAGGACGCUUUGCACAGUCUUGAAGUGACCCCACUGGACCCCAGCUGUCACCCUCCUCCAGCCCUGUCCUGCUUGGUGGGCACAGGUUGGAUCGUAGGAAAUUAUUUGUUGGUCUUGACUCUGGCGCCGGGCCAAGGUUGGGAGGCUGCAGUGUGUGUGGCCUUGCAACAGGCAGGGCAGGAACUUCCGCUUCGUCAGUCCAGUGGCCCCUCUGUGGGGACAGCUGACAGAGGCUGGUCAAGUGGCCCAGAUCUCACCGCCCUCAGCCUCCUGAGGCAUCCAGCACUUCCUGGAGAAGCUCUGGGCGCUGCAAGAACAGGCCAGUCUUGCAUUUUAACACAAAAACACUUUAUUGAUCUUUAAUCAGCAAGAAGGAAAUGGAGGUCAAGUGCGUGUGCCUUCCCCUGCGAGGGAGGCCUCUUAGGGAAUGUGGAAACCAGAUUGGGGGUGGGCGUCCGCCACCCUGGAGCCUCCUUCUGACUCUAGGUGGGGUCACAUUUCCUGAAUUUUGGGGAUCCUGAAAGACAGUUGCCCAUGACUGCAGAGUGAGGGACCUGGGCCCCUAGCCCCACACCCACCAGCAUAGCUGUCCUCCUGCCUACGUGGAGCAGUGGCUGUCAGUGCUCUAAGGAGGGCGCCAGCCCCAUCAGCUUGGCCUCAGGGUUCUGCCCCAUCAUGCCAGGUGGCUGCUCAGGGCGUCUGGCUGUCCCUGCCACCUUGUGUGAGGGUGGGCUGGCCCAGCUGCCCCGGCCACCCCCUUCCUGGGGUGGCCUUUUGCUCCCAGACCUGUCUUAAAUCACUGACAAGGCCUUGGGGGGCAUGCCCAGGCCCCAGUUGGCCACAUACUGCUCCAAGAGGGCUCGCCCUGCUUUGGGCCAGAAUCCGGGAUUGGCCAAGGCCACACAACUGGGCCUUCCUGGGACUUCUCCCGUCCCAGGGCCUGGGAUUCAGGCCAGGCCAGGUCCCUUGGGUCAGGGACUUGUGCCGUGCGAGGGGGGCACUGUCCUCUAGGGAGGCCAGCAUGAAGAGCACUGCAUGCUGCUGGCUGGCCAGGGCUUCAGGGCCACUGCCCUCUCUGUCACCUUCUCCUCCAGAGGAUCCCAAGCAUCCAGCUUUCCUGUGGACACGCAGGUCAGGGGUGGUGGGGACAUGGUAGGGCUCCAUCCCAGCCAUGCCAGUCAGUGUCCUGAGAGGGAUGUUGGCUGCAGGGGCCACAGGCCAGGUGGGGCAUCCUAGGCCCCAUGGCGUGUCUUCAGGGGGCUGGGUGGGACCUGUUGCUGGGGCCUCUGGGGUUGCAGGGCCGAGCCCAUCAUACAUGCCAGGGGUGGCACAGGCAGGUGUUGAAGGGAAAGAGACCCAGCGUGCAGCGCGAAACUGGUGUCUGGGGCCACCUGCUGGCAGCCUCAUGGUUCACUGGGAGGUUUGGGAAGGAACGCCACUGCCGUGGCCUCAGGCAGGCCAGAUCCAGAGCCUCCAGGGCCCCCAGAGAGACAGGCAGCCAUGGGCCCUACGGAGGCCCCCUCAUCCUGCUGCUCCUCAGCCUUGGGGACAGCCUGGCUGGGCUCAGGUCCAGGCUGCUCAUGCUGAGCAAGUGGUUCCUGGAUGGCCAGCCUGUCCUCUUUGGGGAGGGUCCCAAUGCUGGGAGAGGCAAGGAGAGGCCUGGGCACUGGGGACACUCACUUCUGGCCCAGGGGCAUUGUGGGGAAGUCUUCCGGUUUCUCUGAAAGUGAGCAGACUGGGUUAGCAUCUCUACCAGGCUGUUUGGCCCAGGCAGGGUGGGGCCCCAUGGGGUCCUUGUGGCUCCACGUGUCCGCCCUGGCCUGACCCUGAGAACAACCCUCCAGGCUGCUGAUCCCAGUGUCUGCAGCGUCUGCCCUGACCCCCAGCCCUGGCCUGGUUUGCCGAAGCUUCUUAGAGCAGAGGAUUUGGAAGAGGAGUGGGCGGGGAGGAAGGCCCUGGAGGCUCCCCCCACUAUUCACUGCCCCAAGAGGGGGAGUCGCAAGGGGACCAUGCACUUGAGCCCACCUGGUGAGGGGGCAGGUCGCACUUCAUCCUUUGUAGCUCAGCCAGUGAUCAUAGAGGUGCUUCAGCACCACGUCAUCCCCCAGGGCCCAGGGCUGGGCCAGCCUGUUUUGCAGAAACUCCUGCAGGCCUUCCAGGGGCAGCGCCAGGAGCCGUUCUAGGUGCAUGAGUGUGUGUCAGUCCGGGGGGCCCACUGGGAAGGCUCAGGCCCCCACCCUGCCCCCCAUGGCAUGUUGUGAGGGUGGCUGCUGGGUUCUGCGUGGCGCCUCAGCUGGUGGUCCCACUGGGCCCAGAAGGGCCACAAGCAGUGCCUUGGCAGGGGGAGGCCUGGGCAGCACAGAGCCCACCCCUUGCUGCUGCUUCUGUGGAGGGUGCCCUGCCCAGCUCAGGCCAGAGCAGUGGGCCACCGCCCCCUUGGGCACACUCAGGCUCACACAGGCUCAUCUACUUCUGUGCACCUUGAGGACAGUGUAUGCCGAGGCCGUGAGCGCGCACUCACCUUCCAGGAUGUAGGCAUCUCAGAGGUUCAGGGUGAGCGAGAAGGAGGUUUUGUGGGGACAGCUGGCAUGGGAGGGGCAGCCUGAGCCUGGCCCACUGGGGGUCUCGGCACCGGGCAGGAACCCCCAUUUGCCUCUGGGCCUGCAUCAGACAAGGUCCCUCAGCUCCUCAUCUGGGUGAACUCAUCCCGAUGGGGCUAUGGCUGCUGGAUGAAGGUGCUCCCCACCAGGCCACUCAGGGUCCUAAGGGCCUGGACCCCAUGACCGCUAACCUGGGAGAUAACAGAGACCGCCCCCACCCAGUGGGAAAACACCUGAGAGGAGGGAGUCAUGGGCCACAAAGCUGGCCAAGGGUUCGUCUACACCCCGGGCUGACCCAGCUUCCUCCAGGACCCAAGGUGGAAGCAGCUCGUCUCCUGGGCCUGGAGGUGCAUGGUCCUCCUCAAGGAGGGCCCUGGGCUUCGCCAGGUGGAGCCUGGCCCCGGCUGCCCCUCGGGCAGGGCCUGGCUGGGGCUGAGCUCUGCCCUCCCCGGGCUCCGGGGGCUGGGAGCAUCUCGGGACAGGGUCUCCCCCGGCAGCCUCACCCAGUCAAUGAAGCACUGAAGGAACCACUUGGUCACGGGAAUCCCAGAGGUCAUCUGCUCCUUGUCCUAAUGGAAGGGCAGAGGCUGCUCAGGGCCCCCCCAGUGGGUGCAAACCUCCCUAUUGCAGGGGCCUUUGCAACCACUCCCAGGGGCUGAGUGGAUGCAGUUCCUGUAGCCCCACCCAGACCCUGCUCACCCUGGCCCCACCAGAACAAGGAAAAUGAGUCCAAACUCUCCAGCCACAGGAGGGCUCGGCCCACCUCCCCUGGCCCCUCAGCCAAGGAGACAGCGCCUGGGGGAGGAGGUGGGGCCGCUUCUGCUCACCACGCGAUGCUUUAGUUUCUGGCAGUGUUUGCUGAGAACGUGCUCGUGAUGCGCCUGGAAUCUCGACAGUUUCGGGAACCUAGAAUGAAGCCUGAGAAGCCCUCAGGCCCCCAGCCAAUCGGAGCCUGCUCACAGUGGGGUGGGGUUGGGCACUGGUAGGUGCCCUCCUGAACCCAAAGCCUCCCCCGCCUUGCAGUGACCACACUGUGUGCCCAUGCCUUCCGGAGCCCUGGCUGGACACACACUUCCCAGAGAGCAGGAUUGCCUUUGAGGCUCAGGGUGGCCUGGGACAGAGGACCCCCUCACGGAGGCCCAGCCCGGCUGGUCCCCUUGCGGAAGGUCAGGUAGACAUCCCGGCCCCAGCGCCCUCCCACGUCCUUAUCCCCACUCUCGUCACCACAGGGACCUGGAGGUCCCAGCCCUGAGGGGCAGGGAGUCCAGCCCGCGGGUGGGUGAUGGGGUGUGCACGGCCAUCUCCUGGGCUCUGGAGUCAGGCUGGGGACACAGGGCAGGGGGAGACGCUUUCAUCUGGCCGUGGGCCCAGAGGCAGCUGGGCAGGCAGCCAGAUGUGAGGCAGAAGGACCAGCAGGGAUGGAAGAAUCGUCUGGAUGAGGACGGGGUCGAGGGCUAUGGCUACAGGACCCAGAGGGCUGUUUGGGGAGGCAGUACCUUUCUCUGAUUGGCACAUGGACUGAGUGGGGGUCCCAGGCCUCCUCGCUGCUGGGGGAGCUCUGCAGGGAGGCUAUCCUGGGCUCUAGUGCUCAUCUAGCGGUCCACUGUGGCCACCUACAGUGCAUGGCGUGCCUCUGGUUUGUCAUCAGUUGGGCCAGUGUCCAGAAGGCAUCCUCCUCACUCAGAAACAUGAGCAGCAUGGCCACGAGCUUGCUCAUGCCCUGGCAGCAGCCUGCCUUCUAUGUGAACCAGACACACCUGGAAGGACACAUUCAGAGGCGCCCCCUGCACUUGCAUCUCAGCUUUCAACAAGCUCCUGAACAGACUCCUGCCCAGCCCAGGCUCCCAGGGCCCCGAGGGCGGAGGUGAGGAUGCGGUGGGGCCACCGAGAUGCACUGGGUCGGGAGAGCUGCUGCACCACGUCAGGUGCCAGCACCACGCAGCCCCAGGCCUGAGCUCUGGCGUGUCCUGGGCCCCCUUUCUCAGACGAGGGAUAGGCGCCUCAGUUUGCAUGCCAGCGUGACGAGGACCAGUGAGGUCUGGAGCCUCUGCUACCAGUGCAGGCCCGGGGGCCGGACCCUACUGUAGGCAGCCCGUGGAGUCAUCUCAGCUGGUGUUCCUCGAGGGAAUGUUCUGGAAAGAGCAGGCGGAAAGGGGAGCAGCCACCUCAGAAACCACUUCACUGUCCUCGGCACUCUUAUGGAGUUUGGGUUCAUGGGAAGCUUCAUCCCUGCUGAGUCUCUGAUUAGUUAUUUGGCAUCUUCAGGAUCCACACUCAAGCGUGAUGACAGCAGUGAUGCUGAGGCCCUGCGUGAACCUGGAACACGUUUCUACUGAGACGAGUGUCCAGCAGCCCCGAUGAGCCUGGGGGGCCUGGGACAGCCCCCAGGGCGGAGCUGUUUCUGAGUCUGAAAAGGGAAGUCUGCACCCAGCCCUCUCUCAGGUUGAGGGUAGAGAGCAACCAUCACUGCUUCUCUGUGACAGUGUGAGCUGGAGUCCCAACUAGUGUGUCCUGUUUGAUCACGGAUACUCUUAAGAGGCAAGGACCCCGCGGGACACCACACCUGGGCUGCCAGGAUGCUCACGGUGCUGUACGUGGAAUAGGCCAAGAGCACGUGGAACAAGGCUUGUUGCCUAGGAAGGGGGUGACAGAAGGCGAGUUUGUUUUGCUGAUGUGAGUUCCAUUUUGUUUGACGGCACAGAUGUGAUUAAGAAAUCAGCGAAAUAAGCAGUGAAGUUUCCAGGGCACCUCGGUGUUUAAAAAUACUUUGCUCAAAGUCUACAAACAAAGAAAUGCAAAUAUCUCAGCUGUA